GAUAAACGCUGGCAGAAUGCUUAACACAUGCAAGUCGAUGAUGGGAGCUAGCUUGCUAGAAGAAGUCAUGGCGGACGGGUGAGUAACGUGUAAAGAACUUACCAUAUAGACUGGGAUAACAGAGGGAAACUUCUGAUAAUACUGGAUAAGUUAGUAGUAGCAUUACUAAGUAAUGAAAGGUAGCAAUACGCUAUAUGAGAGCUUUGCAUCCUAUUAGCUAGUUGGUGGGGUAAAAGCCUACCAAGGCGAUGAUAGGUAGCCGGCCUGAGAGGGUGGACAGCCACAAGGGGACUGAGAUACGGCCCUUACUCCUACGGGAGGCAGCAGGGGGGAAUAUUGGACAAUGGAGGCAACUAUGAUCCAGCAAUUCUGUGUGUGUGAAGAAGGUUUUAGGACUGUAAAACACUUUUAGUAGGGAAGAAAGAAAUGACGGUACCUACAGAAGAAGCGACGGCUAAAUACGUG
rnacentral:rRNA from 1 species